rnacentral:rRNA from 1 species
GUCCACGCCGUAAACGUUGGGCACUAGGUGUGGGGUCUAUUCAACGGACUCCGUGCCGUCGCUAACGCAUUAAGUGCCCCGCCUGGGGAGUACGGCCGCAAGGCUAAAACUCAAAGGAAUUGACGGGGGCCCGGCACAAGCAGCGGAGCAUGUUGCUUAAUUCGAGGCAACGCGAAGAACCUUACCUGGGCUUGACAUGUAGAGAAAAGCCGUAGAGAUACGGUGUCCUCGGGUUCGUACACAGGUGGUGGCAUGGUUGUCGU